rnacentral:rRNA from 1 species
UACGGGGGGGGCAAGCGUUGUUCGGAAUUACUGGGCGUAAAGGGCUCGUAGGCGGCCAACUAAGUCAGACAUGAAAUCCCUCGGCUUAACCGGGGAACUGCGUCUGAUACUGGAUGGCUAGAGGUUGGGAGAGGGAUGCGGAAUUCCAGGUGUAGCGGUGAAAUGCGUAGAUAUCUGGAGGAACACCGGUGGCGAAGGCGGCAUCCUGGACCAAUUCUGACGCUGAGGAGCGAAAGCCAGGGGAGCAAACGGG